rnacentral:rRNA from 1 species
GGCGAAGUCAUUAAUCCUAUGCUGCCUAGAAAAGCCCAGUAGCGAGUUGACAUGGUGCCCGUACCCCAAACCAACACAGGUGGACAGGUAGAGCAUACCAAGGCGAGUGGGAUAACUAUGGUUAAGGAACUCGGCAAAUUUCCUCCGUAACUUCGGGAUAAGGAGGACCCCAGUAGCGUGACGAGACUUGCUCUCUGAGCGUGAAGGGGUGGCACAAAAUUGAGGGAAGCGACUGUUUACCAAAAACACAGCAGCGUGCUAAGCCGUAAGGCGCUGUAUACGCUGUGACUCCUGCCCGGUGCUGGAAGGUUACGGGGAUGGGUUAGUCCUUCGGGACGAAGCUCUGAACCUAAGCCCCAGUAAACGGCGGCCGUAACUAUAACGGUCCUAAGGUAGCGAAAUUCCUUGUCGGGUAAGUUCCGACCUGCACGAAUGGAGUAACGACUUCCCUACUGUCUCAACCAUGGACCCAGCGAAAUUGAAGUACGAGUAAAGAUGCUCGUUAGCUGCAGAAGGACGGAAAGACCCCGUGGACCUUUACUAUAACUUGAUGUUGUGCUUUGUCAUAUGUUGUGUAGGAUAGGUGGGAGACAAGGAAGCAUGGACGCUAGUCUGUGUGGAGUCAUCGUUGAAAUACCACCCUGCAUAUGGUGAGGCUCUAACCUAGACCCGUUAUCCGGGUUGGGGACAGCGUCAGGCGGGUAGUUUAACUGGGGCGGUUGCCUCCUAAAGAGUAACGGAGGCGCCCAAAGGUUCCCUCAGCCUGGUUGGCAAUCAGGCGUCGAGUGCAGUGGCAAAAGGGAGCUUGACUGCGAGACCUACAAGUCGAGCAGGAGCGAAAGCUGGGCAUAGUGAUCCGGCGGUUGCGUGUGGAAGCGCCGUCGCUCAACGGAUAAAAGGUACCCCGGGGAUAACAGGCUAAUCUUGCCCAAGCGUCCAUAGCGACGGCAAGGUUUGGCACCUCGAUGUCGGCUCAUCGCAUCCUGGGGCUGAAGCAGGUCCCAAGGGUUGGGCUGUUCGCCCAUUAAAGCGGUACGCGAGCUGGGUUCAGAACGUCGUGAGACAGUUCGGUCCCUAUCCUCUGUAGCCGUAGGCGAAUUGAGGAAAGCUGUCCCUAGUACGAGAGGACCGGGACGGACGCAGCUCUCGUGUGCCAGUUGUCCUGCCAAGGGCAUGGCUGGUUAGCGACCUGCGGAAAGGAUAACCGCUGAAAGCAUCUAAGCGGGAAGCCUCUUCCGAGAUGAAUUCACCCACAGGGUUAACCUGGUAAGGCCCGUGGUAGACCACCACGUUGAUAGGCCGGAAGUGUAAGCGUGGCAACACGUUCAGCUGGCCGGUACUAAUCGGCC